GCUGGGGUGGUGAAACAGGUAUACACGAGGGACUUAAAAUCCCUUGAGCGAAAGCUCGUGCGGGUUCGAUUCCCGCCCCCAGCA
rnacentral:tRNA from 1 species